rnacentral:tRNA from 1 species
UGCCCGAUAGUGUAAUAGGCAACACAUUCCGGUUUGACCGGGAAGAAUCCAGGUUCGAGGCCUGGUUGGGCAACAA